CCUACGGGGGGCAGCAGUGAGGAAUAUUGGUCAAUGGACGAGAGUCUGAACCAGCCAAGUAGCGUGAAGGAUGACUGCCCUAUGGGUUGUAAACUUCUUUUGUCGGGGAGCAAAAGACGCCACGCGUGGCGUUCCGAGAGUACCCGAAGAAAAAGCAUCGGCUAACUCCGUGCCAGCAGCCGCGGUAAUACGGAGGAUGCGAGCGUUAUCCGGAUUUAUUGGGUGUAAAGGGAGCGUAGACGGCAGGGCAAGUCUGGAGUGAAAGGCAGGGGCCCAACCCCUGGACUGCUCUGGAAACUGUCCGGCUGGAGUGCAGGAGAGGUAAGUGGAAUUCCUGGUGUAGCGGUGAAAUGCGUAGAUAUUAGGAGGAACACCAGUGGCGAAGGUGGCUUACUGGACUGUAACUGACGUUGAGGCUCGAAAGCGUGGGGAGCAAACAGGAUUAGAUACCCCUGUAGUC
rnacentral:rRNA from 1 species